rnacentral:lncRNA from 1 species
GGAGUUUCCAUCACUCCAUUUCCCGCUUCAUCAUUCAUCAGAGAAAAAAAGAUAUUCGAAGUGGGUAUGAAUUCUGAAGGGAAAAAACUUUAAUUUCCAAUUUUUGUUCAAAAUAAACAAAUUUUUUCCUUUUAUUAUCAAUUCAUUUUUUAUUAUUUUUUUAAAUUUGCUUUUGUAGCGAGGAUUAAGGUGCAUGAAUUGAGGGAGAAGAGCAAGGUGGAUUUAUUGGCCCAGCUGAAGGAUUUGAAGGCGGAGCUGUGGAACUGCUUCGGGUGGCGAAGGCGACCCGUGGCGUCGCCAACAAACUAUCCAAAAUCAAAGUGGUGAGGCUGUCCAUUGCCCAGGUGCUGACCGUGAUUUCUCAAACGCAAAAGGCCGCAUUCAGACAAGGUUAGAAGAAUAAAAAGUACUUGCCUCUUGAUCUCCGCCAGAAGAAGACUCUUGCCAUUCGCAGGCGCCUUACCAAGCACCAGGUAUACAUUGCGAAUAUAUACGAAUUUAUCUUUUUAUUAUAAAUAAUUGGUUGAGUUUAUUGGUUCUGUUUUCAUUUUGCUGUGAUCAAUUGUUGGUUCAACAUGUUAGAUUACAUUACGAAUUUUUCGUGACUAAUUGAGUUGUUUGUUGUGGAUUUGUAUUCAUGAUCGGUUCUUGGAAAUUUUAAGUACUUAGUCUUGCAUAAUUAGGAUUUUUUAGGAUGAUAUUUGUGCUUAUAUCUUCUGGUUGUUUCAUUUCUGACUUAAUGAAAUGGAUAGUUGGUAAAUAUGACUUUUAAUAACGGCCAAACAUGCUCUAAUUGAUUUGUUUUGACGAAGAAUUGAAAUGACAUACUGUUGUGUAUGUGACUCAUAUAGAGUGGAACACAGGUUCCUUGGAUCAAAUAGGUCGAUAUCGAAACAAAGCAGAGCGUAGCGCACCGAACUGAACAGAUCGAAGCAACGGCAUCGACCUUGCUCGGGUUUAAUUGUUAGGGACGUUGAAUGGGUUGGUGGUGUGGUGACAACGCCUCACGGUACGGUACAUGAGUAUUUUUUUGUACGGAUCUUAAAAUCUUAUAUGGGCAUAAACUAGGAUUAGUAUAAAUAAUAUAUUGUAAUCCUAUUUUUCACUACUGAAUAAAAUUAUCUCUGCUUCGCUCUUGUAGACGUAGGCACACUGCCGAACCACGUAAAUUCUUGUGUUAAUUUCUCUAUUCCAUCUCUUUAUUAUUACGCAUAAAAUCCAACACAUACAUUAAGCAACAAGUAGGUUUUUUGGUAAUUGGUCGAUUGUGCUGGUUCUUGGGUUCAAGUAUGAAUUUUACAUGAUUUCUUGAGUUGAUGUGGGAGACAUUUGAGUGCUAUUAUGGAAAAAUGCAUAGUCGAGAAAUGAAGCUUAUUUUCUGCUGUUUGUUUCAAUUUACGGCCUUUUGUUGUUCUAAGUUGUCGUCUAAAUUAUUACUCCACGAACCCUAAUUAUGACCUUUAUCCUCAUCUAAUACUUUUAUAAUGCUUUGCUUAUUAGCAUGGCUUUAUACUUAACCAGACGUGGUCUAGAAAUUGUUGGCGUCGCAUGCUUUAGCCUUUCCUACUUGUUAACUUGAGGUUGUUUUUCAGGCAUCUCUGAAGACGGGAAAGGAGAAAGGAAGAGAGAUGUACUUAUUAAUAAUGAGAAAGUACACAAUUAAAGUUUGAGUUCUC